GAUGAAGAACGUAGCGAAAUGCGAUAACUAGUGUGAAUUGCAGAUUUCAGUGAAUCAUCGAGUCUUUGAACGCACAUUGCGCCCGCCAGUAUUCUGGCGGGCAUGCCUGUUCGAGCGUCAUUUCAACCAUCAAGCCCCAGGCUUGUGUUGGGGACCUGCGGCUGCCGCAGGCCCUGAAAACCAGUGGCGGGCUCGCUGUCACACCGGGCGUAGUAGAUUUUAUCUCGCUCAGGGCGUGCUGCGGGUUCCGGCCGUUAAAAAGCCUUUUUUACCCAAGGUUGACCUCGGAUCAGGUAGGAAGACCCGCUGAACUUAAGCAUAUCAAUAAGCGGAGGA
rnacentral:misc_RNA from 1 species